UCUCUCGACCUCCAUUCACACUCCACACACACGAGCUGCUUCAUCUCCAUCGGAAAAUAUUCUUCCUCUCUCCAUGGUACGAGCUGCUUCUUCUCUCUGUCGCACGAGCUUCUUCUGCCGCUGCCGUUGCCGCCGCCGCUUGCGUAUCUCUCUGUCAUCCCUUGCGUCGCACGAGCUCCCUCCGCCGUCGCUCUCGUUGCGUCUACUCCCAUCGUCACAGAACUCUCUCUACCGCCGCUCUCAUUGCAUCUGCUCCCUUUGUCACCUCUUCCAUCUGAUCUCAACUCGCUCUCUCAAUUCUUCUUGUAACCAUCUGGAAUUUCAGCAGGUUGGUUGGUAAGGGAGCCAUGAAUAGCGUCUUCAGCGAGCAGAUAUUCGAUGACAAGCUGUCCAAGCUUAAUAGCACCCAGCAAUGCAUUGAAAGGUCUUGAUGUUUACAACUCAAAGCAAAUAACAACAAUUGCUCCAACAAUUUAUCUCAAAAUGGCAGGACGACCACCUUUGCUUCCAUCCAAUCAACUUUUUUACCCAAAGAACUUCCUAUAUAUGCUUGAUUCUCUGUAUGUCUAAUUGUUCUUUCUGUCAGGUUAUUGAUGAAACACUUAGACCUGGGGGAAUUGCAAUUUGGCUGAUGAAAGAAGCAAAAGAAGACAUUAAAUACCAAGUUCCAUUUCUUUUAGCAGUCUAUUUAGAUGAGAAUGUGUAUAAUGGAGCUCUAAACUUCAAUCCUUGGCGAUGGAUGGAACCUGAAAAUGAGGUCCUAAUUACUAUAUCUGCUUAAAAUAAUGAAGGAGAAGAGAAACAGGAGAACUAGUCCAUUCUAUGCACCCUUUGGAGGAGGUGCAAGAUUCUGUCCUGGAGCCGAGCUUGCUCGCUUUUAUAUUGCGCUUUUUUUUUAUUACUUUGAAACUACAUACAGGUAAUGCCACCCUCUAGUGCAUAGUUAGUUACAUGAAUUCUGCUAUCAAAUUGGUGUAAAAUUUUAUGCAACUAAAACUAAUCAGAUAUCGCAAAUGAAUUUCAUUAAUUUUUCUUCAUUAUGUACUUAGUUCUUCAUUAUGUACUUUGUCAUGUUCUGUUUCUUAGAAAACUAGUUAUUAUAGAUGGAUAUUUUCGACAGAUUUUAUCUCACAAAAACAGAAUUUGCGAGGGAUUUUUUGUCGGAAACCAAAAAAAAUGAAUUAGCAUAAACUACAGAUGGAAAAGAGAAUCCGUCAAUAAUUCUGUCAAAAAAAUAAUUUAUUUUUGUGGUAAAUGGUUACCGACGAAAAAUCCGUCUGUAAUUAAAUGGAGAAAAAUGCUGCGUUUUAUUAAAUUAUUACCGACAGAAAAUCUGUUUGUAAUUUAAAAUAUUCCAUCGAAAAUACUGAGUUAACCCUAACUCAGACCCUACCCUCUUGAUCUCCAUUCACACUCCACACAAGUGAAGAUCUUCUUCCUCUCUCCGUCCAUGCUCUCUCUAUCGCACGAGCUUCUUUCACCGCUGCCGCCGCCGCUCGCGUCGCCCAAUCUCAUCAUUCACCUCAGCAACGGCCAUUUGCUGGUUAUCCUAAUCCACCGGUUUAGGAAUCAUUACACUCAUCCUUCAUGGAAGAUCUCUACCUCUGGUGGUCACGGAGGUAGUUGCGUCGUCGUCAUUCUCACCGCUCUGGGCCCAGCCGCUUCUUUCAUGCAUGGUGUCAUCUCCCUCCAACUUUGCGACGGUGCCGCUGGCUGUCGCCUGGCCAACCGCAGCCUUUGUAAAUGAGUAAUGUGGCUUUGGCGAUGGGCGAUUCAACCCCUCCACUGCUACUCUGCCGCCCUGGAUGGAAACUUCCUCCUCGGCCCAAGCCGUUUCCUCCAAAUGUGCCGAAUGUAGAUCCAGGUGUUCUUCUCUUGUGUGUUCUAGAACGAGAGGUAAUUUUGAUUGUAGUUUUGGAUUUGAAUUCUGGAAUCCUACUUGAACUGAAAUUGCUCUUGAUUUUACUAGUUGAAAUUCAAAAUUGAAAGCUAAUUCUUCUUCUUCAGCCAAAUCUGUUGCUUCUUCUUCAUUUUCUGCAUAAAUAGACAAAGAUGAAUGCUGAAUUAUUGCUCGAUCUGCCAGCUCUAUUGAUUUUGUUUGUUGUUGAGGUUAAAAUGUAAAAUUGAAAUCUGAUGAGUCUCUUUCUUCUCCUUUGAUGUGAACUUCUUCUGUAAGUUUUGGAUUCCUUGCUGAUUCUGAAGCUUUGGAUAUUGUAUGUUGACUCUAAUUCUGCAAUUUUAUAUUCUAAAUCUAAAUUCUAAAAUUGGAGAUAUGUGAUUAUUGAAUUUUCUGCUGCUAGCUUUGCUGAAUUGUUGCUGAGUAGUAAAAAUUCUGCGUUUAAUUUGGCUUGAAUCUGGAAAAUUGGAGGCUCCUAGAGUUGUUGAUGAUCAUUGAUUUGGCUGUGGUUACUGUUCUAAGGUCAUAUAAUGAGACUGCAUUUUUGGUUAGUCAAAAUUAUCCUUGUGCCUUCUGAUUUGCCUUGUGCCUUCUAAUUUGCACUCUAGAUCGUUUUUUUUUUUUUUGUGUCAAAGUUUAUGUACAAAGAAUGAAUGAUGAUGAUGAUGUGAGCUCUGAGUAAAUUUGUAGAUCAUAAUUUAUGCCUUUUUUAAUCUGUUGCUGUUGAUGCUUUUCUUUUCUUUUUCUUUUUUUUUUUUCACUUUUUUUUCUUUUGCCGUUAUUCCAUCCUAUGUAAAUAUAUUAACGCAUGCAAGAAAAUCUGCCUAAGUACAUUAUAAGAUCUCAAUUGUAAAGACUAACGAUUCAUUUUCUAGCACCUUGUUUGGUAAUUUAGUGCUUCAGUUUACAAUAUGUCAAUCUUUGUUUAUGUAUAUCUUGUUUUUGAUAAUGUGAGCAAUUAUUGUUUGGAGACUGAGGCCACUUUCACCUUUGAUUUUUUUACAUUGGUUUUGGAAUUUGCUUCUAAUGUGUUUUGUUUAACUUAUAAUAUUUUCUAUUUGUUCAUUUAUUCCAAUGCUCCACGGCUUAACUAUUGCAUUUACAUGUUUGUUAAUUUAUGCCAAUGCUCCUCGACAUGGUCCUCUCUACCUUCAUUAAUCUCAUAUUCCUGUUCCAUUUUCCCAGCAUUUUUCAUUAGUCUCUGAAAUAGAUACCCACACUUUGAUAACUCCUCAAAGUAAUAUAAGCAUUCCAUUUGGUGUGAGCGCUGCUUAAGAAUCCAAUGCUUUGUUAUAGCUUCUAGAUUAGGUGUGAUGUUGAUAUUAUGUCGUAGCUAUUAUGCUUAUGUUUUUGUGGUUUUUGCACACAAUUUCGUAAUGGUUCCACUUGGUACUAGGUAUCUGAUGUUCGGAUGCUGCCUUCUCUAUAGCCGCUUCUGCUAUUUUUGUUUGGAGUAACCAACGAGGUUUACUCAACUUCG